rnacentral:rRNA from 1 species
AGCUCGUUCUCUCCGAAAUAGCUUUAGGGCUAGCGUCCGGUAACUAUUUGGCGGGGGUAGAGAGACUGAUUUGGUUUGGGGCCCUUCGCGGGGUACCCUGCUGAACCAAACUCCGAAUACCGUCAAAACUACCCGGGCAGUCAGUCCGCGGGGGAUAAGCUCCGCGGUCGAGAGGGAAACAACCCAGACUAUCUGCUAAGGUCCCGAAGUCGUGCUCAGUCACUAAGGAAGUUGAAUUGCUGUGACAACCAGGAUGUUGGCUUAGA